rnacentral:rRNA from 1 species
CAUAUUCCGACCUGAGAGGUGAUCAGGCCACACUGGAACUGAGUACACGGUCCAGACUCCGUACGGGAGUCAUCAGUAGGGAAUCUUCCGCAAUGGGCGAAAGCCUGACGGAGCAACGCCGCGUGAGUGAUGAAGGUCUUCGGAUCGUAAAACUCUGUUAUUAGGGAAGAACAUAUGUGUAAGUAACUGUGCACAUCUUGACGGUACCUAAUCAGAAAGCCACGGCUAACUACGUGCCAGCAGCCGCGGUAAUACGUAGGUGGCAAGCGUUAUCCGGAAUUAUUGGGCGUAAAGCGCGCGUAGGCGGUUUUUUAAGUCUGAUGUGAAAGCCCACGGCUCAACCGUGGAGGGUCAUUGGAAACUGGAAAACUUGAGUGCAGAAGAGGAAAGUGGAAUUCCAUGUGUAGCGGUGAAAUGCGCAGAGAUAUGGAGGAACACCAGUGGCGAAGGCGACUUUCUGGUCUGUAACUGCCGCUGAUGUGCGAAAGCGUGGGGAUCAAACAGGAUUAGAUACCCUGGUAGUCCACGCCGUAAACGAUGAGUGCUAAGUGUUAGGGGGUUUCCGCCCCUUAGUGCUGCAGCUAACGCAUUAGCACUCCG